CCUACGGGUGGCAGCAGUGGGGAAUAUUGCGCAAUGGGCGAAAGCCUGACGCAGCGCCGCCGCGUGGGGGAUGAAGGUCGUCGGAUCGUAAACCUCUGUCAGCAGGGAAGAACGGUCACUGUGCUAAGCAGCAGUGAAUUGACGGUACCGGCAAAGGAAGCACCGGCUAACUCCGUGCCAGCAGCCGCGGUAAUACGGAGGGUGCGAGCGUUAAUCGGCAUUACUGGGCGUAAAGCGCGCGUAGGCGGUAUGUCAAGUCAAGGGGGAAAUCCCCGCGCGCAACGUGGGAACGGCCUUUGAAUCUUGCAAACUGGCGUGUGUGAGAGGAUAGUUGAAUUCCAUGUGUCGGCG
rnacentral:rRNA from 1 species